AACGAACGCUGGCGGCAUGCCUAACACAUGCGAGUCGAACGAGACCUUCGAGUCUAGUGGCGCACGGGUGCGUAACGCGUGGGAACCUGCCCUUAGGUUCGGAAUAACUCCCCGAAAGGGGUGCUAAUACCGGAUAAUGUCUUCGGACCAAAGAUUUAUCGCCUUUGGAUGGGCCCGCGUUGGAUUAGCUAGUUGGUAGGGUAAAAGCCUACCAAGGCGACGAUCCAUAGCUGGUCUGAGAGGAUGAUCAGCCACACUGGGACUGAGACACGGCCCAGACUCCUACGGGAGGCAGCAGUGGGGAAUAUUGGACAAUGGGCGAAAGCCUGAUCCAGCAAUGCCGCGUGAGUGAUGAAGGCCUUAGGGUUGUAAAGCUCUUUUACCCGGGAUGAUAAUGACAGUACCGGGAGAAUAAGCGCCGGCUAACUCCGUG
rnacentral:rRNA from 1 species